CUUUAUCAGUAAGGUUGCAGAGCUCACUCCAGAUGCAACAUACUGAACUAUAAGAAUGAUGCUUCUUGAGUUCUCAGCAGAGCGUGUGUCUGGACGUACUAGAAAACAUUACAAGCGGUUUAUCUUUGUUGAUGAUCAGGAGAUCAAGCAUUAAUCCCAUCACCGAUUCUCCAAACCGAUUCUCCAAUUAAUGUCAUGGUGGGGAAGCCAACAUUCAUACAAUACUCUGCCUUGCACCAAUACUUGGAAGAAAAAGAUUAUAUAGAUGUUGUGGGAGUUGUCAUUGACAUGGGAGCGCCCAAAAAAAAGGUGUCUGAUUGCCUGCAGGAAAUGAUCAUUAUCUCACAAGAAAAAAUCACCGACAAAAAUAAUUUUGUGGAAUGAUGUUGUAAAUGCUGAAGGCAAAUUUUUCACCGCACUUAUGGAUAGCCGUCCAAUAAUUGCAACGCUUAACAUUCGCCCCUCACAUUUUGAUGGUAAUUUGUACCAACCUUCCUCCCCAAAAUAUAUGUAUACCUUUACGCAUUAUCGGUAUUAAUAUAUGCAGCCAGUUUUAGCAUCUAAAUCUUUUUAUUCCUAAAAUAUAUAUAGGUAUAUCCUUAUCUGCCAUUACAACGACUAACUUCCUUGUGCAACCUCCAUAUCUUCAAUGCAUUAACCUGCUGAAAUGGAAACUUGAAAACAUGGCCUACUUGGAUGCUUUUGUUCUGAAAAAUGAUUACUCUAAUGAAAAGUCUUUACGUUUGGGUUUUGCCGAAGCUAGCCAAACUACAACCAUUUCUCAUAUGCUUGCAUCUACAAAGAAUGGAGAAUUUCACUGCAAAGCUUCAUUCCAAAUUACAAUCAGUUCAGCAAUGAAACUAUCAUAUAGGGCAUGCGCAAAAUGCCACACCUCCACCAUGACACAUGACAAACGCAAUUUCAAAUGCUUCCGUUGUGCAAGCAUUCAAGUUUGCGAAAUCAGGUACCUCUUGCAUAUGGAACUGCAAGACUCAACAACAUAUGUUAAAUGUGUUGCUUACGAUGAACUUUCAUCUUAGUUACUCGACAUUGACACAAGUGAGAUGAUUCACC